rnacentral:lncRNA from 1 species
UUGGGGUUGGUGUUUAAAAGAUCAGAGGUGUUAUGGGUUUUAAAGUUCGUGGAACAGUGGUGGUUAAGUGCUAAGGGAGUGUUGUGGUACAUGGGUGAGAGAAGGGGUUGUCGAAUAGUGGUUCAUGGUGGAGAAAAUGAGAGGUGAAUGGUGGUAGAGGAAAAAAGAGGUGAACAGAGGUGGAGGGGAAAAUGAGAGAUGAACGGCGGGGAGGAGAAAAGAGGAACGACGGUGGUGCUUGUGUACCAUCGACGUUACUGUAGGUGGGUGCAACUGUGACUGAUCUGUGUGGCAACUUCGUUCGGUGACGAUGUGAUAGUGUGAAUGGGGGUUAAGGUUUUCUUUUUUGUGUGUGUGGAGAAGAUGAAGAAUAAAGGGAAAGGGUAAAGGGGUUUGGGGGUUUUCUCUUUUUUUUUCUUGGUCGGUUGAGCCUUCUUUUGUUUUUCUUCCCUUUUUUUCUACCUGGGCCUGAUUGGCCGUUUGGCCCAAUUCUUCUCGCUUCCCCUUUUUUUCUUUUGGGUUUCAUUGGACUUAUUUGGGAUUUAGGUAUUUGGGUAUAUUUUUAGGUUUUGGGUAAAUGGUUUUUAUUUG